rnacentral:rRNA from 1 species
GACGAACGCUGGCGGCGUGCUUAACACAUGCCAGUCGAACGGUGAAGCGCCUUCCUUUUUGGUGGGUGUGGAUGAGUGGCGAACGGGUGAGUAACACGUGAGUAACCUGCCCCCUUCUUCUGGAUAACCGCAUGAAAGUGUGGCUAAUACGGGAUAUUCUGGGUCUGUCGCAUGAUGGGUCUGGGAAAGAUAUUGUUUCGGUGGGGGAUGGGCUCGCGGCCUAUCAGCUUGUUGGUGGGGUGAUGGCCUACCAAGGCGGUGACGGGUAGCCGGCCUGAGAGGGUGGACGGUCACACUGGGACUGCGACCCGGCCCAGACUCCUACGGGAGGCAGCAGUGGGGAAUAUUGCACAAUGGGCGCAAGCCUGAUGCAGCGACGCCGCGUGAGGGAUGGAGGCCUUCGGGUUGUGAACCUCUUUCGCCAGUGAAGCAGGCCUGCCUCGUUUGUGGGUGGGUUGACGGUAGCUGGAUAAGAAGCGCCGGCUAACUACGUG